CCCACGCAGAAGAAACACUGAGGAAAGAAGACACAAAGUAACAAAUGGAAGGAAGCAGCCGACGCCUGAGGACAACAUGGCAAGAAGGAGCCUUUGGAUUCCGGACUGGCAUGGAAAGAGAGAUUGUGACCUCCUUGAGGGUUCGGACCGACAUGCAUCUGCCAGUACCAUGCACCUAACAUAGUGCCAAGAGCAUAGCAGACCCAAAAAGGAGGAGCUGGAAUUAAAGGUGGAGUAAACUUCAUUUUCAAAAACAUUAAUGACAUGAAUCAGCUCUGAGCUACUGGAUUCCUCUAGCCACAUGUCCCAAUCAGAGCCAAUGAAAUGUAAGAAGACUAUUGCUGGCACCUGUGAGAAGGAGGCAUGCACUCUUCCACUGAGAUUGCUAACAGCUGCAAUAAAAGAUGACAGAAACAUCAAUAAUCUGAAGCCAUAAAGGGUUGAAAAAGCCCCAAGAGAAUGUUAAUGUUAAUGAAAGCAAGAAUGGAUAAGAUUGGCACUAGGGAGAAGUCUUAAUACACUCAGGCCUCUUUCAAGCAAUUCCUGCCUGCUGAGAAAGGUAAUAGUUAUUCAAUUCUACUCCCUCCACCACCAGCUCACUCCCUCCCCUUGCAUCACUCCCUCCCCUUGCAAACCCAGUGGCUAUUGUUUCAAAUUGUUAUCAGGCAGAAACCAAAAUAGAGGCCUUUAAGUUAGAAUACCAGGGCCUAUUACUAAAAGACAAAAAUGCUCAGAUGAAAAUCUAGAUUCAAAGACUGAAGCUUAAAAAAAUCCUCUGGCUUUGGAAUCCCCCCCCCCAUGGAAUUGGCCAGAUGCAAAUAGACUAGAAGUUUACUAAGAAUUAAAGAAAACUGGGCCAGGUGCAGUGGCUUACACCUGUAAUCCCAGCACUUUGGGAG